UGUGGGAGCUGGCUUGCCUGCGAUAGCGGUGUGUCAGUGCCAAAUGCAUCAACUGGCACACCGCUAUCGCAGGCAAGCCAGCUCCCACA
rnacentral:misc_RNA from 1 species